ACUCUUUUAAUAUAAUUAGUAUAAGUGACUUCCAAUCACUACGUUUCAGCAUACAUCUGAAAAAGAGUA
rnacentral:tRNA from 1 species